AUUGAACGCUGGCGGCAGGCCUAACACAUGCAAGUCGAACGGUAACAGGAAGCAGCUUGCUGCUUCGCUGACGAGUGGCGGACGGGUGAGUAAUGUCUGGGAAACUGCCUGAUGGAGGGGGAUAACUACUGGAAACGGUAGCUAAUACCGCAUAACGUCGCAAGACCAAAGAGGGGGACCUUCGGGCCUCUUGCCAUCGGAUGUGCCCAGAUGGGAUUAGCUAGUAGGUGGGGUAACGGCUCACCUAGGCGACGAUCCCUAGCUGGUCUGAGAGGAUGACCAGCCACACUGGAACUGAGACACGGUCCAGACUCCUACGGGAGGCAGCAGUGGGGAAUAUUGCACAAUGGGCGCAAGCCUGAUGCAGCCAUGCCGCGUGUAUGAAGAAGGCCUUCGGGUUGUAAAGUACUUUCAGCGGGGAGGAAGGCGAUAAGGUUAAUAACCUUGUCGAUUGACGUUACCCGCAGAAGAAGCACCGGCUAACUCCGUGCCAGCCGCCGCCGUAA
rnacentral:rRNA from 1 species